UACGUAGGGUGCGAGCGUUGCCCGGAUUUAUUGGGCGUAAAGGGCGCGUAGGCGGUGAGAUGCGUCCGUUGUGAAAUCGCCCGGCUCAACUGGGCGGGGUCAGCGGAUACGGUCUCACUUGAGCAAGCUAGGGGGCAAUGGAAUUCCCGGUGUAGUGGUGGAAUGCGUAGAUAUCGGGAGGAACACCAGUGGCGAAGGCGGUUGCCUGGGGCUUUGCUGACGCUGAGGCGCGAAAGCGUGGGUAGCAAACAGG
rnacentral:rRNA from 1 species